CAGCCGCCGCGGUAAUACGGAGGGUGCAAGCGUUACUCGGAAUCACUGGGCGUAAAGGACGCGUAGGCGGAUUAUCAAGUCUCUUGUGAAAUCUAACGGCUUAACCGUUAAACUGCUUGGGAAAUUGAUAAUCUAGAGUAAGGGAGAGGCAGAUGGAAUUCUUGGUGUAGGGGUAAAAUCCGUAGAUAUCAAGAAGAAUACCUAUUGCGAAGGCGAUCUGCUGGAACUUAACUGACGCCAAUGCGUGAAAGCGUGGGGAGCAAACAGGAUUAGAUACCCCCGUAGUCCCUGUCUCUUAUAC
rnacentral:rRNA from 1 species